rnacentral:rRNA from 1 species
UACGUAAGUGGCAAGCGUUGUCCGGAAUUAUUGGGUGCAAAGCGCGCGCAGGCGGUUAUGUAAGUCUGAUGUUAAAGCCCGAGGCUCAACCUCGGUUCGCAUUGGAAACUGUGUAACUUGAGUGCAGAAGAGGAAAGUGGUAUUCCACGUGUAGCGGUGAAAUGCGUAGAGAUGUGGAGGAACACCAGUGGCGAAGGCGACUUUCUGGUCUGUAACUGACGCUGAGGCGCGAAAGCGUGGGGAGCAAACAGG